rnacentral:lncRNA from 1 species
AACUUAUAAAGAGAUGUUUAGGCAGGACUGUUGCAACAACAACAAUACAAUUUUAUAAAAAACAGCAAGACAUUCUCAUUAUACUUAAUCUGAGCUUUCAGAUUGAACCGUAUGAGAGGGAAGAGGACAGACCCAAGAGCAUUCUCAGUGUGCCCAUCCUGAACCACAAAAAUGAGGUUGGACAGAUUUAGAUUAUCCAUUAUAUGCUGUCAUUAUAGCAUAUGUCCAGUAUUGCAUUACCAUAUAUAUAUUUACAUGAUAUUAUUAUAUUUGUAAUAUGAUAUUUUGCUAAAUAACCAGUUAGUCUUUUAUAUUUUUUUUGUAAUGAACAUUAAUUUGUUUUUAUCUCUCUAAGGACUGGUCCAAUGUAUUUUGGCAGGUUAUAGGUGCUGUCAUGGCUGUGAACAAAAGCAGGCCAGGCACAUGUGCAGGGAGCUUUUUCUCAGAACAAGAUGAGAAAGUAAGUAUUUAUUAAUAUUAAAGAUGGUAAAAAAUCUUGCCUUUCAAUAAUCUGAAAUACAGUAGUGUUGAGUCCAUGUCUGAAAUACAGUAGUGUUGAGUCCAUGUAAAUUUUUCUUCAUUACACAUAAUGCAUGACAUUUGUAGUGAAAUAUACAAUGAAUUGUAAAUGAUAAGCCACAUAUCUAUAAUAAAUAAUCUUGCCCUUAAAUAAUCUGAAAUACAAUAGUGUUGAGUCCAUGUAAAUUUUUCUAAUGCAUGACAUUUGUAUGAAAUAUACAAUGAAUUGUAUAAGCUACAUAUCUAUAAUAAAUAAUCAAUGCUAACUUUUGUCAUGUGACCUGAGUCAAAGAAUGAGUCAUCUUUUUGUCUCUAGGUGCUGUUGUCACACAUGGUGUGGUUCGGACUGGAAAACUUUCAGCUUUGUACUGUUGGAAUUGACUCAGCUGGUGUCACAUGACUACACCUCUCUGAAUGACAUGCUCAGCAAACUGUCUGCUGUCAUCCUGCCAGUUACAAAAGCACAAUUCUGUACUAUUUUCAUCUCAGAUGACAGUUCCACGGUAAUACAAGAAUCAAUAAAACUUCAUGCACUCAAAAAAAUAAAUUGUUGA